UUGGAUUCUCGUCGCGACCGCCGAUCUGAUAGGACGUGGAAUCCUUCUAGUUAAGUUAUAAUACGUCUUAGUGUUUAUCGUUCACACUCACAAUUAUUUUUGAAGAGGAUCGGCUUGAUUUACAACUCUAAAUUCUGGAGGAAUCUUCCUAAAAUUUCAUCCAUUGUACCACAGCCUGAUCGGGAACUAGACAGAAUCAAAUUCUGAGAUUGUCUGCGAAUUGAACUACGACGCACUGGCAUCCAUUUACCAUCAACUAUUACAUGGAUUGAGCAGUGAAUCUAUUGAGCUACUUUGACAUUUAAUAUUUUGGGAGUUUAAAUGAAGGAGAGCUUCUUUUGAGAAUACCAUGAUUCUGGUUAUACCUCAGUUUUCCCAAAAAUUCUACUACUCGCAAUUAAGUUAUGGUUGGAUAUUUUGGGAAUGAGUUCAUCAUCUAUCUUAACUACAGCUCGUAUUUGUUCCAUUCAUUUUGAAGAAGAAUCUUUUAAUAGAACAUGUUCAAUAAUUCGACUUAGGCCAAAUGCAUUGCUCAGUAGAACACUUACAAUGCAGCGAUUAUCUUUGGAAUCUAUAUACUGUUGAACAAUUUAUUAAUGAAAACGUAUUUAUUAAUUGAAACGGUAUCACAAGAAAUAAAUUAUUCGCCAAUAGUUCCAACAGAAUCAAUAGAUGUAAUCAAUGGAUCCUUCACCCAUAACAAAUAUUUGUUCACGUAAAAAUCAUUUUUCAUACAUAUUCUACCUACCUUCAAAGAAAUAGAAUUAAUAAAUAAAAUUUAAUAAUUUUUAAUCUGAUAUAAUUACUGUUAUUUAUUAUUUUAGCACAAUCGGUAUUUAAAGUGGCUAAAAUAACAAUGGUAUCAUCUACAUGCAUUUAUAAUUCUCCAGAAAAAUCUAGAUUACGGAAAAGAAUUAAAUUCUUGGAAGUACAACAUGCAAAAAAAAUGCGAUUUGCGCAACAAAAAAUACGACGGUAUAAGAAUCAAGUGAUCACACGCAAAGAAAUUUUAAACAAAUUAAAGAAUAAUAAAUUGUUGAAUGAAAUACAAAUUGACAUCAUACCCCACACAGCACGCUUUAUCCCGAGGAUAUCCCCAGGUUAUCGAGAUAUCCAAUUGGACAUAUUGCAUCCCAUGGAUGUUCUACGGUUAUUGCGAUAUUCCUCGGAUAUCUGGUGGAUUGCGAUAUCCUGUGCUGUGUGGGACAUAUGUUAGAUAAACCAAUAGGUGAGAUUUUUAAGCGAUUAAUUAUGCGAAAGAAAAAUGUUUGCGUACCUAAACAAUAUUCGUCGGAAAUACGUUCAUUUGCACUAACGCUACAUUAUUAUUCUGCAUAAGCUUAUGAAUAUGAUUACUUUAAUAAAUGCUUACCACAUGUAAAAACUCUUUCUUCUUGAUACAGAACUGUUAAUGGGGAACCUGGUAUUAGUUCAGAAACGUUAUAUUCCAUCACUGAACGUGUAAAAAAA
rnacentral:misc_RNA from 1 species